AACCUGUUGAUACUUCCAAUCGCUGCUUCUACCCCUGUGUCGCACACGCUCACACAUCAGGUAAAUAAAAUGUGACUAUUCCUAAUUUCCCUUUCUUCAAUUUCGUGUGAUAUUCUUUGAUUUGUUCAUGUUAAUGUGUUGUUGACGUCAAAGCAUUGUACAUUCAAUUACAUCACCAAUAUAAGCUUGAAUUUUUAGUAACAAAACCAACCAAAGCUCCAUAACAUCAAAAGUAAAACAUAACAGCAAUGAAUUGAAACUGUUGAAGGGUAAUCUAGGCAGUAAGUUUCUUGCAUUAAUUCAUAUUGAUCCAACAGAAACAAACAUUAGAAUUGAACUUUCACAAGCAAACCCGAAUUAUACAUCUACUCUCAAGAAUAGCCAGUACCAAAACCAAAACAUUUUGAAGAUGAGAACUAAAAUUCCAAAUCGAUUUACCCCAAAAAAUCCAAACAAUUUACCCCAAAAAUCAGAAUCGAUUAACCCCAAAUAUCACUUUCAGAUGAACAAUUUCAAACAAGCAAAAUCGAUUUACCCCUCAAUCAAUGCUAUGAACGAAGAACAUUUGCACCAGAAUGAAGAGUGUGUGCGUCGGAUGUGUGUAGAAGGCGUCAACCAGAUCAGAAGGGGGAAUAUGAGGCUGCAUGUAAGUUUUAAGAGGUUGCGAUUGGGAAGAAGCCACGUGCGAGUGUGUGCGACACCGAGGGGAGAAGCAGCGAUCGGAAUUCAGAAGUAUCAAAGGAGCAUGGUCGAUUGUGAUGGACUGGGCAACGUGAUCUGAG
rnacentral:lncRNA from 1 species